GACGAACGCUGGCGGCGUGCCUAAUACAUGCAAGUAGAACGCUGAAGCUUGGUGCUUGUACCGAGCGGAUGAGUUGCGAACGGGUGAGUAACGCGUAGGUAACCUGCCUGGUAGCGGGGGAUAACUAUUGGAAACGAUAGCUAAUACCGCAUAAAAUGGAUUAUCGCAUGAUAAUCCAUUGAAAGGUGCAAAUGCAUCACUACCAGAUGGACCUGCGUUGUAUUAGCUAGUUGGUGGGGUAACGGCUCACCAAGGCGACGAUACAUAGCCGACCUGAGAGGGUGAUCGGCCACACUGGGACUGAGACACGGCCCAGACUCCUACGGGAGGCAGCAGUAGGGAAUCUUCGGCAAUGGACGGAAGUCUGACCGAGCAACGCCGCGUGAGUGAAGAAGGUUUUCGGAUCGUAAAGCUCUGUUGUAAGAGAAGAACGAGUGUGAGAGUGGAAAGUUCACACUGUGACGGUAUCUUACCAGAAAGGGACGGCUAACUACGUGCCAGCAGCCGCGGUAAUACGUAGGUCCCGAGCGUUGUCCGGAUUUAUUGGGCGUAAAGCGAGCGCAGGCGGUUAGAUAAGUCUGAAGUUAAAGGCUGUGGCUUAACCAUAGUACGCUUUGGAAACUGUUUAACCUGAGUGCAAGAGGGGAGAGUGGAAUUCCAUGUGUAGCGGUGAAAUGCGUAGAUAUAUGGAGGAACACCGGUGGCGAAAGCGGCUCUCUGGCUUGUAACUGACGCUGAGGCUCGAAAGCGUGGGGAGCAAACAGG
rnacentral:rRNA from 1 species